rnacentral:rRNA from 1 species
UACAGAGGUCCCAAGCGUUGUUCGGAUUCACUGGGCGUAAAGGGUGCGUAGGCGGUCGGGUAAGUCUGAUGUGAAAUCUCACAGCUUAACUGUGAAACUGCAUUGGAUACUAUCCGGCUCGAGGAAUGGAGGGGAGACUGGAAUACUUGGUGUAGCAGUGAAAUGCGUAGAUAUCAAGUGGAACACCAGUGGCGAAGGCGAGUCUCUGGACAUUUCCUGACGCUGAGGCACGAAAGCCAGGGGAGCAAAUGGG